rnacentral:rRNA from 1 species
AGAGUGAACGCUGGCGGUAGGCCUAACACAUGCAAGUCGAACGGCAGCACAGUGGUAGCAAUACCAUGGGUGGCGAGUGGCGGACGGGUGAGGAAUACAUCGGAAUCUACCUUUUCGUGGGGGAUAACGUAGGGAAACUUACGCUAAUACCGCAUGCGCCCUUUGGGGGAAAGCCGGGGAUCGCAAGACCUGGCGCGGAUAGAUGAGCCGAUGUCGGAUUAGCUAGUUGGUGAGGUAAUGGCUCACCAAGGCGACGAUCCGUAGCUGGUCUGAGAGGAUGAUCAGCCACACUGGAACUGAGACACGGUCCAGACUCCUACGGGAGGCAGCAGGUGGGGAAUAUUGGAACAAUGGGCGCAAGCCUGAUCCAGCCAUACCGCGUGGGUGAAAGAAGGUCCGUUGGUUGUAAAGUCCCUUUUGUUAGGAAAAGAAAGACAAUUCGGUUAAUACCCGGUUGUUACUGUACGUAACCCGAAAAGAAUAACACGACCGGUACUAAC